UCUAAUCAAAGUAGUGUCUGCAUGUAGAUCCGAGGUGAAAGAGGCAACUUAUUUUAAAGCAGACGAGAGAGUAUGAAGGCUUUCGUUAUUUCCUUAGUUCUGGUAGUUUCUGUGUUUGCGUGUCAUCAGAAGGCAGACUGUAACAUGGUGUCAUGUGAGAAACAUGACGAAACACCCCAAUGCUUAAAUGGAGCUUGCGCAUGUCUAAAUGGACAUUGUAAUGCCUAAAAUAUUCAUACCACCCGGACAGAACCAGACGUUUGUUUGUUAGAAAGAAUAUGACAUAAACCAUUUUCUUGAAUAAAUACAAAACAUAAACAGA